rnacentral:lncRNA from 1 species
CCAUAAAAAAGUUGGCACUAUGGUUUUCGUGAUAAUUCUUUCUUCUCUCUUCCCACAAUAGAAAAGGAGAGAGAAUAUAAGAGAAAGCUAUCAUUUUAGUCCCUUUCUCUUUCUCAGAAGAGAUGAUGAUGGCACGAACUACCUUGGAUUUUUCUUCAACCUUUCAACGCCAUUACCCAACAGCAAUCAUCAUGCCCUCACCCUUCUCUCUCACCUUCCUCCAUAACCAUCAUCAUUACCCCCUCAAAUCUUCCACCACCUCUUAUUAUUCCUUUAUCACAAACAUCAUCAUCAUCAUCCACCUACUUUUUUCUCAUUAUUAUUAUCUCCUUCACCACAAGAACCACUUCUCUUCACAUACAAAACAAGCACAAGAAGAAGAUAACAAAGAAAAAGAAGACAAAUAUGUUGGUGUUCUUAUGCUUAAGAGAAAACCCUACUUUCUUAUCUAGCUAGCUUCAGCAAGCUUUUAUAAGUAUUGAGUUAAAAGGGUUUUGAUAGCUUUUGCUACAAAGAUCCAACAACUAACUCAACUCUUGGGGAAUCAAGCAUCUCGGUCCGAUCCAUUUCUGUUUUGCUUAUAUUAAUAUUCCAUGUUACUAUGUAGCCCUUUUUUAUGUUGUUUUAACUUUAUUAUAGCAAUUUUCAAUUGGAUUCGCAGAAUAUUGAUUAUGUUAGUUUCACUUGCUUUACCACUGUCUUCUGGAUUGGGAAGUGUUAUUACUUAUUGUGAUUUAUCUUUGUCUUGUUGCAGUAUAUAUUUCAACUUUUUUCCAUACAUAGAAUUAAUAACUUGGUGUAUAAAUUAAGGAGAACCAGUUAGAUAGAUAUAUGUGUGUGUUAUUAAUAUUUAAUGGUUUUAUUCUUAUAAGUACAUGCAAUCAUGGUUCUGAGAAUCGAAGAGCCUCGUUUGUGUAACUGUGUAACCAUGUUGUCACUGUAACCAUUCUAAAAUUUUG